GACGAACGCUGGCGGCGUGCCUAAUACAUGCAAGUAGGACGCAGUUGCGAACGGGUGAGUAACGCGUAGGUAACUACCUAUUAGAGGGGGAUAACUAUUGGAAACGAUAGCUAAUACCGCAUACUAGUAGAUGGACCUGCGUUGUAUUAGCUAGUAGGUAGGGUAAUGGCCUACCUAGGAAACGAUACAUAGGCGACAGGAGAAGGUGAGCGGCCACACUGGGAGUGAGACACGGCCCAGACUCCCACUGGAGGCAGCAGUAGGGAAUCGUCGGGAAUGGGGGGAACCCUGACCGAGCAACGCCGCGGGAGUGAAGAGGGUUUUCGGAUCGGAAAGCUCUGUUGUUAAGGAAGCGGUACUUAACCAGAAAGGGACGGCUAACUACGUGCCAGCAGCCGCGGUAAUUC
rnacentral:rRNA from 1 species